rnacentral:rRNA from 1 species
UACGUAGGGAGCAAGCGUUGUUCGGAUUUACUGGGCGUAAAGGGCGCGUAGGCGGCGCGGUAAGUCACUUGUGAAAUCUCUGAGCUUAACUCAGAACGGCCAAGUGAUACUGCUGUGCUAGAGUGCGGCAGAGGCAAGCGGAAUUCUUGGUGUAGCGGUGAAAUGCGUAGAUAUCAAGAGGAACACCUGAGGCGAAGGCGGGUUGCUGGGCCGACAUUGACGAUGAUGCGCGAAAGCCAGGGGAGCAAACGGG